rnacentral:rRNA from 1 species
GAUGAACGCUGGCGGCGUGCCUAAUACAUGCAAGUCGAGCGAACGGACGAGAAGCUUGCUUCUCUGAUGUUAGCGGCGGACGGGUGAGUAACACGUGGAUAACCUACCUAUAAGACUGGGAUAACUUCGGGAAACCGUAGCUAAUACCGGAUAAUAUUUUGAACCGCAUGGUUCAAAAGUGAAAGACGGUCUUGCUGUCACUUAUAGAUGGAUCCGCGCUGCAUUAGCUAUUUGGUAAGGUAACGGCUUACCAAGGCAACGAUGCAUAGCCGACCUGGGAGGGGAACCGGCCAAACUGGAACUGAGACACGGUCCAGACUCCUACGGGAGGCAGCAGUAGGGAAUCUUCCGCAAUGGGCGAAAGCCUGACGGAGCAACGCCGCGUGAGUGAUGAAGGUCUUCGGAUCGUAAAACUCUGUUAUUAGGGAAGAACAUAUGUGUAAGUAACUGUGCACAUCUUGACGGUACCUAAUCAGAAAGCCACGGCUAACUACGUG